rnacentral:rRNA from 1 species
UACGGAGGGUGCGAGCGUUGUCCGGAAUCAUUGGGCGUAAAGGGCGCGUAGGUGGCGGGACAAGCGUGCGGUGAAAGCUCGGGGCUCAACCCCGAGUCGGCCGUGCGAACUGUUUUGCUUGAGCACUGUAGAGGCAGGCGGAAUUCCGGGUGUAGCGGUGGAAUGCGUAGAGAUCCGGAAGGACACCGGUGGCGAAGGCGGCCUGCUGGGCAGUAGCUGACACUGAGGCGCGACAGCGUGGGGAGCAAACAGG